AUGGCUUGAUGUUGCUGUUUAAUGAGACCCAGAAGUUAGCUUUUGCUCCACCACAACUUUUUUUUUUCUCUUUGUGGUUGCAGUAUGGAACUUCCCAGGCUAGGGGGGUUGAAUCAGAGCUGUAGCUGCCAGCCUACACCCCAGCCACAGCAACGCCAGAUCCAAGCCGCAUCUGCGACCUACACCACAGCUCACGGCAAUGCCAGAUCCUUAACCCACUGAGCCAGGCCACAGAUUGAAACGGCAACCUCGUGGUUCCUAGUUGGAUUCAUUUCCGCUGCAUCAUGACGGGAACUCUGAGGAUGUACCUUUACGCCAGGCACUCCCACAUUCUCCCUCUCUCUCCCCUUUCCUUUCAUCUGUCUGCCUGUCCAUCCAUCCAUCUAUCCAUCCGUGCAUCCACCCAGCACUUAAUGAGUACCCAUUGCAGAGCAGGCCGUGGACUAGUCACCAAUGAGUGAACGUGGUUCUCACCUUUGAGGUCUCCCCAGUACCUCCUGUUGGAGGAGGCGGAGGAGGAAACAUGUGUGAUGCGUAUGGGGUGCUAAGUGGAAGCGGGGAGGCAGGGUAUCUCGGCCAGGUUAGGAGGACCAGGGAGAGCUUCCCAGAGGGCAUGAUGUUGAAGCUGCAUCUUCCCAGGGGCUUGGGAUGGGCCCAGUGGGGGAGGGUCCUGGGACGAGGGCUCCCUGAUGGGGGGAGUCUGUGGUGAGCCUCAGGUCCCCAAGUGUGGGUGGCACUUGGGGUCCAGUGGGAGAACUGGGGGUCAGUAGGCAGACGCCCCAAGGAGUGCGGGCUGGGACACUGCGACAGCUUUUAUAUGGGGUGGUGGGACAGACUAAUGGCCCCCAAAGGAUGUCCGCGUCCUAAUCCCCAGACCUCUGAGAUGUGAUUGAGUUGAGGAUCUGGAGGUGGAGAAAUCAUCCUGGGUUAUCAGGUACGUUGCGUGUGGUCCCUGAGGUCCUCGUCAGGGCUGCAGGGCUGGAGGCGUCAGGGAUGGAGAUGCUAAGACUGGGGCCGAGGCGGCAGUCGUGCCACCGCCAGCCUUGAAGGUGGAGCAAGGGGCCCAUCAGUAAGACAUGCAGGCACCUCUGGAGGCUGGGAAAGGCCAGGAGACCGGCUCCCCGGGGGCCCCCAGAAGGAAUGUAGCCCUGUUGGCAGCUUGGUUUUGGCCCCGUGAGACCUGUUUUGGACUUCUGAUUCCAGAACUGAAAGAGAAUAAAUUUGUGUUGUUUUAAGCUAUUAAGUUACAGUCGUUUAUAGCAGGAGCCAUAGGAAACCGAGACCCUGAUUAAGCGUGGAGUCAUCUGAAAACCUUUAUUCAAGGGUCUGGGUUGGAGGGGGGGCAGGAUCUUUUGUCCCGAGUCGGUAAGACCAUCACCAUUACCGGAAAACCUUGGAGAGUCCCUCUUCCAAUCCGUUCUUUGUACAAACCGUUGUUCCAGUUAAGGCCUCGGGCAAUAAAAAGACCAAGGCACUGAGUCUCUGACCUGAUCCCCUCCUGCCUGGGGCCCAUGUGUCCUGACGCUUGGACCUCCUCUCUGGGGCGCUCGGGCAGAUGCGGUGUGACUAGGGCCCCACUUGGGGGAGAACAACCCCAGCGAAAGUGGCAGAUCCCCCCGGGAACUUGACGGAUUUCCUGUUACUCAUUCUCCCGUCUGCUGAGCGGGAAGGUGGGGUGUUUAGUGAGUAUCACUGUAACCUGCACUUUCCUAAAGGCAAACAGAUUUCUCUAGGUGGGAGGAUUCCUGCUUUGUGGGAUCCGCGCAGCCCGGCUGACUCAGAGGCUCCCCCGGCAGCCUCUGCAGCUGACACCCCGACAAUCCGCCGCGUCUCCUGCCUCCCUCCCAAGAAGCAAAGCGGGAGCGGCUCCCUCCCCGCCCUCCUCCCACGGCUCUCCCCGAGCCGGGGCCUGUGUGACUGCCACCUCCAGGACGUCUGUGUCACCGGGAGAUGGAAAUACCACUCGGCGAUGGCGCCGGGAGCCUCCUCCAGUCACUCCCCAGGGCAGCAUCACAGGGCGUGCCAGCCCCGUGCCCUCCUCUGCGUGUGUUACCUUAGCGUUACAGCCCCGGCGUGCAAAGUUGUAUCCCGAUGCCCCAGCGCUAAUAACUGGGGCCCCUGAGCCUGGCACCCAGCACAUUGGGCGCCACCCCUAGUGCCCUCCUGGUGCUGAACUCGGGACGUUAGCCACUGGCUGAUGGUAGUUUGCUCUAACACUGUCUGCGACCGUCACCGUUGUGAGUUGAAGUGUGUCCCCCAAAAAAGCUCUGUUCAAGUCCCAACCUUUAGCACCUGGGAGUGUAACCUUGUGUGGAAAUAGGGCCUUUACAGAGGUCAUCAAGCUCAGAUUCCCUGUCCGACCUUUGCUUGGAGAACCGGGUUCACCGGGUUCAGGAGUUGUUCCUGCUCCUCCCUAGUUAACAGAUUUCAAGAGGUCGAACCGUGUCGUGGCUUUUCCCAGACUGGCUGAUUCAAACCAUGCCACGGCCAGGAAAGAAGGGGAGAAAAAGAUCAUUGACUAAGAAACACUCAUUUCUGUUGCAAAUUACUAGUUGGGGCUCGUUGUUGAUUAUCUCACCUCUGUUGCCAUUUGUAUUUAGAAGUGGCUCAUAAAUUUACUUACGUGGGUCUGGUUUGUUCUCUAAAAUGAAACGAUCGCACUGCACAUAGUUCCAAAACCACGUUGUGAUUGGAAAGCUCCCACUUCGUGGAUCUCCAGCCGUCUGCCAGGACGGAGUUGGGCGCUCUCCUUACAUUAGCUGUGCUUUUCGCAUCAUCUCCACUUUGCAACUGGGGAAACGGAGGCCGAGGACAGUUAAGGAAGGUCGGAGCCCAUACGUGUGCGAGACUCGAGAGUCUCUUCUGCCCCCGCGGCCCUGCCCCGUCUUCCUGCUCGCUGCACACAUCUUCCUAUUUAGACGGCAGAGAAGAACAAACACCAAGUGUUCACGUUUAGGUGUGCAUUUGGUAGAAGGGUGUGUGGUACGCGCGUGUGUGCUUGUGCAGAAGGCCACCGCGUACAUAAAAACUCUCUUCAAGAACAUCAGCCAUUCCUAAUUUUGAAAGUUUUCCUAAACAACCUCUCCCACCAGGCCAGUAAAUGGAGCCCAACAGAUAAACCACUGGGCUUUAUUUGCCGUCUCUUCAAGUACCUUUUAACUCCCACAGAUGGCCCUGUGCUUCCCCAGGGACCGGGGCUGGCCGUCCUCAGCUCUGUCCUGCAGGCGCAGGAAGCCCCCUCGGCUGGUCCACUGGCUGAGUCAGAAGAUUCUCUGGGACCAGAGGAAGUGGGAGGUGAUGCCCCAGGACCCGGUGCUGUGAGACGAGUGGGCAGUGGGUUGGCAGGACCCUCGGCUUUUCACCACCAGCCCGCAAAGGAGGGCAGCGGAGGGGGGGACAUCCAGUACGGGCUCUCCGCCGUUUCCCCACAGCGCCCUGGAUGUCUGGCUGAUCCCUCAAUGAUUAACCCUGCGAACUUGGGCACACCACGUGGCCUCCCGGGCCAGCAGCAAAGGCACUCCCACUGUGGCCUAGUGGGAGCUCACGUCAUUGCUUAGACGGGAGCUGACCCGGGCUGCCUGCUUGGACAUGCCCGGUGAUGCACCUGCAGGCCUUUGCCCCGGCUGGUCCCUCUGCCUGUGUCUUUGCCAAAUGUCCACACCGCCCAGUCCCUUUCUGCUUUUUGAUCUUGACUCAGGAGUCACCUGAUCAAGUUUUCGUUGGCUUUCCUGUCUAAAAUGUUGGCACCUCCCACCCUCUGCUCACAGUGUUUUAUUUCUUGUACUCUGCUUUCUCUUUGCUCCUUAGCACUUAUCAUAAUGGAAGAGACGAUGCGUUUGUUGUUUGUCUUGUGUAUUGUUUCCUCCUGCUAGAAAGGCAGGGAUUUUUGUUCGUCUUCUCUGCCCACUCUGCUCUAUCCCCCAGCAUUUAGAGGAGGGCCCGGUGCUUGUAGAUGAUUGAGAAAUACCUUUUGAGUGAAUGAGUAAAUGAAUCCUUUUAACUUGGCGGGGCCUCACCUCGCUCAUUGGAGUGACGUCUGCAUGCCGAGUACGUGCUGUGCGUUCACGAAGUGAUGGACGCUUACCAGCCGAUAGGUUCCCGUAUUUCUAUUGCAUUCUCUGUUUUAUCUUUACAACCAAGGGGCUGCGUCCGAAGGAUCCCCAGAGCAUGAGCAGAGGCUGAGCCAGUGCAGGACGGCAGGGACGCCCAGGUCUGAAGGCAGGGGGACCCUCUCUGUUCUCCCCGCUGCCUCUCGACCUUGGCAUUGGCGUACCCUCUGGGUGCCCCGAUGGGGAGGGAAGAGCCUGAGAUUAGCGCUUUCUUUUUCCUGCUGUCUCAUUCCGGGCCGGGCAGGAGAGGGGCCCCAUGGAAGCUCUGCUUGUAGCCCCACUGCUGCCCCUCUGUGGGUCUGUGUCUGGGGCUCUUGCCUCUGUCAGGGUUCCUGCACCUGGGCACGUCCCGGGCAGCCUGUGGUCAGCCGUGUCUCGUGGCCAGGACUUUCAGGAAUGCACCCUUUGACCACACAAGCGAGGCCACACAUGCCUGGUUGUGGUGAACUCUGAACCCUUUAAAGGCGUGUGAACCUCGCCCGAUGUCCAUUCCCCCCCCACCCGCUUUAUUCACUAUUUGCAGGUCUUUUGCAAAUUGAUUAGAUUCCUUAUGUAUUUGAUUUUAAUUGAGGUACAUGCCUUUUUAAAAAAGGAGUUUAUAAGGCUUUCAUUUUUAAUACAGAAAAAUUAUUAAUCUUUGUUCAAAUCAUAUAUAUAUAGCGAUUGUUUUCUUUCUAGCUUCUUUUUUUAAGGUGAGGUAUUUAUUGAUCCAUAGAAAUUUACAUUUUUCUCUGGUCAGAUCUGAGUGUCUUCAUUGGUAGCUUCUUAAUGAAAUGUCUUGGUCGUGUGUAAAGUCCUUCCAAGUUUCAAGACUGAGCAGACAUUCCCCAUUUUUUUAAACAUAGAACUGUAACAUUAAUCUAGCAUGAAUUUUUGGUAUAGGAUGUGAGGCAGGCAUAAUACUGUUCUUUCCCUCCAAAUAGUUAACUGAUGAGCUAGGAUUUCAUUGGGUGAUGUUCCCGUUUCCACUGCUUUAAAAUAUCACUGUGUUGGAAGUUUCUGUUGUGGUUCAGUCUGUUAAGAAUCAGACUAGUAUCCAUGAGGAUGCGGGUUUGAUCCCUGGCCUUGCUUAGUGGGUUAAGGAUCCAUCAUUGCCGUGAGCUAUGGUGUAGGUCACGGACUCUGCUGGAAUCCCGUGUUGCUGUGGCUGUGGCGUAGGCUGGCAGCUGCAGCUCCGAUGGGACCCCUAGCCUGGGAACUUCCAUAUGCUGCAGGUGUGGCCCUAAAAAGCAAAAAAAAAAAAAAAAAA
ensembl:lncRNA